UACAGAGGUGGCAAACGUUGUUCGGAAUUACUGGGCGUAAAGGGCGCGUAGGCGGCCUACUAAGUCAGACGUGAAAUCCCCCGGCUUAACCUGGGAACUGCGUCUGAUACUGGAAGGCUUGAGGAUGGGAGAGGGAUGUAGAAUUCCAGGUGUAGCGGUGAAAUGCGUAGAUAUCUGGAGGAACACCGGUGGCGAAGGCGGCAUCCUGGACCGGCAUUGACGCUGAGGCGCGAAAGCGUGGGGAGCAAACAGG
rnacentral:rRNA from 1 species